rnacentral:rRNA from 1 species
AGCGAACGCUGGCGGCAGGCUUAACACAUGCAAGUCGAGCGGGCGUAGCAAUACGUCAGCGGCAGACGGGUGAGUAACGCGUGGGAACAUACCUCUUGGUUCGGAACAACACAGGGAAACUUGUGCUAAUACCGGAUAAGCCCUUACGGGGAAAGAUUUAUCGCCGAGAGAUUGGCCCGCGUCUGAUUAGCUAGUUGGUAGGGUAAUGGCCUACCAAGGCGACGAUCAGUAGCUGGUCUGAGAGGAUGAUCAGCCACAUUGGGACUGAGACACGGCCCAAACUCCUACGGGAGGCAGCAGUGGGGAAUAUUGGACAAUGGGGGCAACCCUGAUCCAGCCAUGCCGCGUGAGUGAUGAAGGCCCUAGGGUUGUAAAGCUCUUUUGUGCGGGAAGAUAAUGACGGUACCGCAAGAAUAAGCCC